rnacentral:rRNA from 1 species
GUGGGGAAUAUUGAACAAUGGGCGAAAGCCUGAUCCAGCCAUGCCGCGUGAGUGAUGAAGGCCUUAGGGUUGUAAAGCUCUUUCAGUAGGGAAGAUAAUGACGGUACCUACAGAAGAAGCCCCGGCUAACUUCGUGCCAGCAGCCGCGGUAAUACGAAGGGGGCUAGCGUUGUUCGGAUUUACUGGGCGUAAAGCGCACGUAGGCGGAUUGGUCAGUUAGAGGUGAAAUCCUGGAGCUCAACUCCAGAACUGCCUUUAAUACUGCCAGUCUAGAGUCCAGAAGAGGUGAGUGGAACUCCUAGUGUAGAGGUGGAAUUCGUAGAUAUUAGGAAGAACACCAGUGGCGAAGGCGGCUCACUGGUCUGGUACUGACGCUGAGGUGCGAAAGCGUGGGGAGCAAACAGGAUUAGAUACCCCUGUAGUCC